GUGGGCGCUGGAGAACUGAGGGGGGCUGCUCCUAGUACGAGAGGACCGGAGUGGACGCAUCACUGGUGUUCGGGUUGUCAUGCCAAUGGCACUGCCCGGUAGCUAAAUGCGGAAGAGAUAAGUGCUGAAAGCAUCUAAGCACGAAACUUGCCCCGAGAUGAGUUCUCCCUGACCCUUUAAGGGUCCUGAAGGAACGUUGAAGACGACGACGUUGAUAGGCCGGGUGUGUAAGCGCAGCGAUGCGUUGAGCUAACCGGUACUAAUGAACCGUGAGGCUUAACCUUACAACGCCGAAG
rnacentral:rRNA from 1 species